ACAGCUGUGCACUUUGUUGUUCUGCUUCAGCCUGAGCGCUGGUCUGUAAAUGGUGUUGUCGGUUAAGGAGUGGCAAAAGCAGAUUUGCGGUAGCUGAAAAUAGCAUGAAGAUUGUCUUGAUUUUGUCUCACAGGUGGUGAGAUGUGUUCUGAUUAACAGUUCCAGGCACCGAACAAACUCGUUAGCUGCUUGCUUUGCCUUGGGUGGCUGCUCAGCCUAAUUAAGAUGUGUCUGAGAGAGGAUGCUGCGUGCUCAGAGGCAUUUCAGGACCCUCUGUGCUUGAGAAGGAGAGUGAGCCACAUGGAAGGGAAUGCUUGGAACUCCUAGCUGACCGAGUGUAGUCGCCAGCGUCUGUACGCUGAUAGCAGGUGCACUGGUACAAGGAUUUGUAAAGCACUAGUGCAGACACUGAGCCAAGGAAACACGAGUUGCUCAUCAUUCACUGCUGUUCUCGACGCAGAGAAAUGUUGCUUGUCCUGCCCUCUGGGUUUUUGGGGUUUUUUUUGUUUGUUCAUUUUUGUUUUGCUCUUAAUUAAUUUAUCUUUUGGAGGAGGCUUUAAAAAAAGGCAUGCAAUUCCAAAGCUUUCUCGUUUGCUGAUGAGAACAGGUGAGUGCAUGGUGCGUGUGGAGUAUUUCCUUGUCCACCAUUGUAGUGUUGGAAGUUUAUUCCUCUGCCUGCUGGGAUUCUGCUUUUUUGCUUUUGUACAGUGGAAACAGUGUAUUUAGAAGUAGGUCGGAAGGCAGGUACAAAUCUGUCCUUCUGUAGCCCUCUGGGGUUACUUGAGUUACACCAACUAUGAAUUUGGUUCAGGGCUAUUUGUCUUUUAUCAGGUAUUUGCCAUUAGACGAAGAGCUUUGCAGAUCUGGAGCUGGGGGAUGACUGCUUACCCCUCUCACAGGCUGUAGUCAUCUUAUCUGGUUUGGGAAAACACACAGGAGAGAGGACAAACAGGAACAAAAGAUGUAUAAAAAGUUUCUGUAUUUUUACUCUGUGCUCUAGUCUUGGGUAUCAGGAAUUGUAUAUUAACCAAACCAAGUGCACAAAUCACAUGAAGCUGACUGCCUUUUAAGGAUCCUUUUUCCUGUAUUGUGUUCAUUUUAGAAAUGAGCACAACAUUUCCUUUCCCGGUGCUGGGAGCUGCUGGAAACCACUUUUUGGAAACCACAUAGCUGCCUGGAAAUCUCUCACCGAGAGUGUGAUUUUUGGAUAGGACUUAACUGAUCAGCAUUGCUUUUGAGAAAUUGCCUUGCGAGUUGCAUCCGUGGAGCUUAUUGCUUCUGCUGAAGGAAUCAACAUCACCUCAGUUGUUGAUGCUGAAAGGAGCAGUUUGAUCCAAAUAAAUAAGAAAAAUUAAAAAGGUAGAAAGCAGUGCAUCAUUCAGUGGGAGUGUCUGCUGUAGAAGGGUAGAGUAAGCUCAUCUAUCUGGUUUAGAUGGUACAAUUAAAGACCCCUUCAAUAAGUUUGUGGUAUUAUCUUUUCUGAAGACAUAGAUGCAAGUCACUCACCCUGUAUUUUCUAGGGAUAUUUGGGACACCUUUUAUUGAAGUGAUUGCCCCAGACAUCCUGUGGCUCUAAGCUUCAAUACAAUGUUAUUUUCCUAAUGUGUAAAAGAGAUAGCUAUUGGCUCCUCCUGCAGAACUUUUUUUUUUUUUUUUAGCAAUGAUGGAAGUUCCAAAAUUUAUUAUUUUUUAAUAGUUACUUAGCUGCGAUGUCACCUUCCUGUGGGACUUGUAUCAUUCACUUGUAUUUACUCAGCACUGAUCUAGCUGAAAAUCCCAUCACAUACAGCAGUCUAGGCAAAGACAUGUGCCCACUUCCCAUCUUAAAGGGGGAUGUUUUAAUCUAGGCUGAGAUAUUCCAUAAAAAGAUGAGGGGAAGCUUGGGCUGUGCACAUCUGGGCAUGGUUUGUCUUUGGCUCCAACCUGCCCAUUUGGUAUGCAUCAAAAGGAAGCUCCAUUGCAAUUUUCUGUGUUUUAUUUCUAAACCUUCUGCUUUGUUUUCUGAUUGAUAACAAGGGAGCCCAGGAGAGCACUGUCUUUUAAGGUAACUGCAUCUCUAACAUGAUGUCUUUUUUCUUCUUAAUGCUCCAGGGAUAUAGUUCAAACAAUACAAACCUCUUAUGUUUAGUCGCUAUCACUAGGCAAAUACUCCAUGACUGUUUAGAGUCCCUGUAUCUCCCAUAACCUUGUUUGAAGGGAUUUGUUUACUUGUCUGUCCCUGCGCCUUAGCCGAUAAAAGGAGGAUGAUGGGGCAGGAUAGAGGCAGCCUAUGAUUGUUAAGCUCUGGAUAGUGCAUUAUGUCAGUCUGUCUGCUGGCUUCAAACCACAGUAUAGUGCCAGAGGUAGAAAAAACUGUGCUGCAGUCAAAGCCACAUUUGCAUUAGAUUUUUUUUUGACCUUAUGGUGUAGAGAACAGUUGCUUGUCACUAGUGCUUGGGGAUGAUCUAUGUGGGGGAAGCAUUUCAGAUUCCCAGGCUAUAAGAGUUCCAGCAACAGAGGAGUGAGUAGGCUUCAGUGAGAGCUGUGGCAUGCUGGCAGCAGUUGGGAGGAUGCAGAAGCUGAAAAAUGCUAUCUUGAGGUAGCUUUAAUUGGUUGCAUUGGAAAACACUUGGUUCGACAGGCUCAUAUGUCUUCUAAAAUGCUUGGUGCCAGACCAAGUUGGCAUUCUUCCCUUGACUUACACUAAAAGCCACCAAGCAUUGAUCUGAUCUUCAGUCUUACGCUUAAAUUUUUCUUGGAAGAGCAAGAUUUUUGCAAAGGCAGCAGAUCAUUUCUCCUCUCCCUUUGCCUCAGCAACAAUAAUGUUGAACACUUGAGCUGAAUGGGUAUUCCCCAUCUUCUGACUCAUUUCAUUGUGCUUUCAACUUUACGGGUUAUCCCUCAUCUGAUCACAGAGCCCCAUUACCUUCAGUUUGUCUAUAUUGGCAGUGUAGAGAACGGAGGCUUCAUUUAAUGAGGAAGUAGGGCCUUAGAUGGCUCUUCAGUUUCCAUGUGUUCAGAGAUACUCAAUAGGAAUAUUUCACUAUUUCCCAGGAUCUUCACCUUCCUUCUGCUUCAGUAGAAACAUCGUGGUCAUGCUUGUUCUAGGUAAACAGAUGCAGGAGCCGCCACUCAUCAGUUUUGCUUCAGCUGUAUUUUUAUUUUCAUCCAGUUACUCAAGUACUUUUUAUGCACCCCACAAACCAAAUACUCUUCUUUCUGAAUGUUUGUAUAUCCAAAGGAGUUGUACAGUGUGAUAAAGAUGAAUGAGGCUAAUGGCUCAAAUGAAGAGUUAAUUAUUUUUGUGUUUGGGGGAAAAAUGCUUAUAGGAAAAGUCAAUCCAUAUGUGGCAUGGCAUACAGAGAACUGCAUGCCAAGUUACAGAAAGCUUUCUCUUCCUGUUCCAUACAUGCACUCUUCAUCUCAAAUGGCAAGUGCACACAACAGAGCACCGCCAAGCACAGAAGUCGAACAGCAGUAAAACAAAAACAACUGAAUCGUGAAAAGCGAACUGAUUUGCUUGACACCUAUUUUGUUCAACACUGUGCUGUUCUAAUCUGAAAACUCCUGUGCGUCACAAAAAGUUUUCAGAACAAUAGGAACUGUCAAUUGCAGCAGAUUUUACAGACCUGUCAUUAUUCUCCUAUUGUCUUGAAGCGCUAAGUGGCACACAGAAAGAUUUUUGGCAGCAUUUCAGUGAGUUGUCUUGUAAAGAGGAAUCAUGUGUCUCUACUUCAUGUAUGUUAUUGUUUGCAAUUAGAGUGUAGCCCAGCACAGGCCUCUGGGAGCAUAUCUGCUCCCAUUCCAGUGUGCUUAUUUUAUGGUACUCAUUCAUUUUGUUCAUCUAAAAUAAACUAUAGAUUUCCUUUCAAAUUUGGACUCAGUGUCUUGUAGAGAGCCUGAAUUGCUAGAACAAAUUAACAUCCCACUCCAGCUGAUGCUCCUUGGGAAUGGUGGGAACAGUGUAGAAGUAGAAAAUUUUACCUAUUAGAGCAUCUAGGUCCUCACCUGCUUUAGUGUGAGCAAGCACACUCUUGCUCUGCCCUGUGUUCUUUCACUGCAGACACUUUCACUGCUUAAUAAGGAGUUUUCCACUCCCCAUCAUUAGGAACUACAAGCCACUCUUCGGGACAUGUUUCUGAAUAGAGGCAAGAUGAGAAGAGAGAUUGGUUUUGUGUUAGGGAGACUCAAUUGUACAGAUAAUGUAACUGGACAGUGUUUUGGCUUCCAUAACUACCUCUUCCUAGUAGUAUCAUCUACAUCCCUACCCAAACCAAAUUGUGUUCCAGUAUAGCAGGGAUCAUAACAUUCACUCUGAAAAUGAAAACCUGAAUUGAGUUACCCACCCUUAUUGUCACCAACUUGCAGAGCCCAUAUGUAAUGCAAAAUAUAUAUAUAUAUAGCAUUGUGAAAGGUUUGCAGAACAUAGAUCUCUGUUUUUUGUUGGCUUCACAACAAAUUCUGACAAGUUUCUCUACUUAAGCAUUUAAUGGUUUAAAAAAAUAAUGAGAAAGUCAGGCUUCAUGGGAGAAGUGUGACCUUCAUAUAAACUAGAACUUUGAUUAGCCGUUUUGGAUGUUUUAAAUUCCUCUGUAAUGCACAAAAUCAGUCUUGUAAUGGGGUGAAGAAGGAGAUCUUCAUAUUAAUGCUAACAUACUGUCAAAUUAAUACAUCAAAUACUACACUCUUAUCCUGAGUUGGUGGACUGCUUUUAUCAGUGCUUUUGAUGUGGCAAUGAAAGUGCUUGUUCCAUAGCUACAAACCCAACUCCUUUAGUCUUCCCUUCUCUUUGAACAUCAGUUUUCUUAAGACUUGGAACAUAGUUGUAUGGAGAGCAGCUUUCACAGAUGGGUAUUUCAAGAUACACAUCUGAAGGCAUAUUAGAAGACCUCACAAAGGGAUUCUCUUUUAAACUAGAUUUUCAAGUAUAUGUAGCCUUCUGGCUUGACCUCUAGAUCCACUCCCAGUUUGCAUUUCAAGAAAAAGCAUCUACCCACAUAUGGUUAUCUCCACUAAGAUCAAAGCUGUCACUUUAUUCCGACACCUGUGAGAAUGAAAUGGAUAUAAGAAAAAAAAAAAUGUGGGGGAAAUGGUGAAAAGGUUUGAAUGAUUUCACAUUUAUAAAAGGCAUGCGCCCACGAAUCUCAGCAAUGAUGAGAAUGCUUUCAAGAUAAGCUGCAGCUCUUCUUCUCAGAAGCAGCAGAACAUUUCUUUAUUUGUUAAUCUCACCUAGGUAAUUAAGGAGACUUGAAAACAUAAACAACUAUAGAUUUUCCAGAUCCGUGCAAAUAUAGCUCACUUGGCUGUGAAAGUUAAUAAGGUUCUAACUUCUGGGUGGAUUUUCUGCCUUGGUGUCUGAUGGAAUCCACUGUGAGGGACGGUGUCAUUUUAUGCUUCCUUUGGAGGCUCUCCUCAAGGUGUGAUGUCUUUCUCUGUUUCCAGCUUUCUCUGGCAAAUAUGUAAACUGUCAUAGAUUUAUCCCAGCUCCAGGGAACACAUCCUGAAGGACUGCCUAGACUGUCCUAUUAGAGAUCUGCAUCAGUAGAAAUGCAGCUCUGUUCAUCUGUUUGUGUUUCUUGCUGAUGUGUGAAAACAGAAAAGUGGCUUUGCAGUGCCCAUCUGCCCUCCAUGUAGAUCACGGGCAUAAGGCACAGAGGAGUCAAGGUGUGCAUUUUGCUGAUGUGCCCAUGCCUCAGCACUGCAAGAGCCCUUGGCUUUCAGCUAGAUAGGAUAUGCCAGAACAUGCUGAAGCCAGUGCCCUGAACCCCCUAAAAGAGGCACGUGUCCAGUUCUUGUCACCCCAGCAAAGCUAUCACUUCUUCAUCUGAUAAUUCACCUGAGUGCUGAGGAACAUUGUGGCUGGAAGAACCUUGCUAUGUAAGAAAACCAAGUCGCAUUCCUUGUCUUCAACACAAGGGGCUAAAAUCUGUCUCAGGCAUUAGCCACAGGAAGGGAAGAAAUACAGGUUACCAGUCUUCUAUCUUGUCUCCUUGUGUGUCUUCACAAGGGACCUUCUCCUCUCCCUUUUCCCAUACUCAUCUUGUGUAGGAUAGAGUUCACCCAUGUGGGUGGUGGAAGCUCUGCUCAGCUUUCAGAAACAGGAGCUUCUUGGAGGUAAGGCUCUACAUUGUUCACGCUCUCAGAGUCAUACUUUGGACAGUUACAGCUGAAAAGAGGUAUAGGAUGCACUUGGAAGCUCUCGUUUUUACACCUCCAGCUUCUUUGGUACAUGAAGUAAAUAGGCAACAGUCACAAUUAUUUAAGGGAUACAUUCCUGUUUUCUUACUUCAUAACUUACUUACUUAAAUCCCUUGCUCAAAUUUACAACCCAUUUCAAACAAUAGCAAAAUAUUUUGAGGGUUAUGCUUACAAUGUAUGAAGUCAGGACAAGUGAAUGUGCACUAUGUUCUGAUACUACAGAAAAAGUAUGAGUGAAUCUCAAACAAAAUAAGUUUUGAUUGUUCAUGCGUUAAAUUAUAAAUCAACCCACUUUUGCGUGCAGAAUUUCCAUCAUUCAUAAGUCAUGGACUCCCACUCCAGACUGAACUUUGCACCAGUCUCAGUAACAGUUUUCACUGCAGAAGGUUCCAGCCCAGUGAAUAUCUUGAUUUUGAAUUUUUAAUAUGCUUACAAUAUAAAUGGAAACUUCCAAUCAAAAAUUGAUUUAAUGGAGUAAAGAUCAAGCAUUUCAUGCAUGGCACUGAGCGCUAGCACUUGCCAUUCAUUUGGUAAGACAAACAAUUGCUGGUUGUGCAUCAGGGGUUUUUUUUGGAUUGUAGAACACUUUGCUGUCAAGCUUCAACCAACAAGGAGAUAGUCACCUUUAUAACCCUGCAGUGUGUUACUGAGUAUCAGUAAUUGAAAGGAACUUGCUUUAUUCAGUCAAAGAGAUAUAUGGCAGAUUUGUAAUGUGAAAAAUAUAGGAAAGCCCCACAGCUAAUUAUAUGAUUUUAAACUUAAACUCCUGAACUCAGUUGCUGCUCGUUGAAGAAGUUUUCUGAGUUGUAAUAUAGAGGUUUUACUGCACCAAAAUCGCAGUUUGCAGUAGUGGCAGCCAAAAGAUAAUCACAAUAUGUAGUUCUUGAGAUUGUAAAGAAAUGUGCACAUUUCAUCACCAUCUCCUGCACAGGCAGGCACCUGGGUCUGGAUUCAGAUCAAUUUGGAUCCUCCCCUUGACAUGCUGUCUCCAUCCAUUCUUCUGUGUCAUUAGCACUAGAAGUCACAUAACCUAACGAUGAGACCUUGCAUCUCAGCCAGUUUAGAGCAUCUGUAUCUUGCUGCAACCAAUGCUACAGGAACCCCUGUGAAAAAUGAAUACAGUAGGUCAUGUAUGAGCUGUGAUUCAGGGCACAGCAGUAAUCCUUUGCAAAUCCAGUUGCCUCAGCAGUAUUCACUGUUUAUGGGAACUUAUUGCUUGGGAUGCAAACUCAGGAGCUGCUGAAAAGGAAUCUCUAAGCAGGAGAUGGGACCUUGGCUGCACUGAAACAAGUGCUGCAGCUCCCACCAGUUUCAAUGAUCCUAAGUUUGCACCCCAGAAUCAAGGGCUAAUCUUUCUAGUAAAAUGAAGAUGCCAAAAUGAACUGUUCAGUAAGUCAAAAGGCACGUCCUCCUAAGGAGAGUGAAAGAUGUCAGAAAGCUCUUUGCAAGCCAGUUACAAAACAAGAAACAAUUUUGACUACCAAUAUAUAAAGAAAAAUGUUUGUUCCACCAGGGAUAAAAGCUCACUCCUUUCUUUGCUGUCAGGAUGCAGGAAGAAAGGAAGAAAAAAGGUACUUGUAGUUGGCUGGUGCAGUCCAGCAGCACAGUCAGUGAAGCUGUUUCAUCAUCCCAAGUCAUUCUGUAAUAGCACUGAUUUAUCUUGCUGUCACGCAGUUGUCCCCUGUUGAUAAUUUCAGUUUUGUCAAGGCAUGGGUUUUGUUGAAAACCUGCAAGCUCCUCUUACCUGCAGUGAACAGUAGGAGAACAGAGUAAGAUUUUCUCUUUUUCAUUGAUGCCUAUAUAUAAACCAUGCUAACCCCAAAAACCUUAAGGGUGUAGGAAAUAUUUUCUUUUUCCUUUUCUAUUUUCUUUUUUUUCUUUUUAGAAUGUUAUUUCUAAACCACAUUGACUCAGCAGAAAGAUGUAAGCACUUUGUAUGAUAACAGGUUGAUAGUCAAGCCCUGAUGUGAAUGCUCAGUUCUUUAAUUCUAGCUCUAACAUCUUACAUUUAACUCUCCAGUAGACAGGUAUAGAUGCAGUAGGUGGAAAGGAGACCAUGCUUUUUAUAUGCAUAAUAAAUAUCUCAGUUCUGUGUGUUACUCUUUAGUUUUCUUUCUGUUUCUUCACUUAAGUGUGAGGGAGAGAGAAUGAGAGAAAAAGAAGAGAUAAUUAACCAAAUACAUUUAAUUCAUAUCUAGGAACAGACUGUGUAAUAAUAAAUUCUCAGUUACCCAUUGCACUAAGCAGAACUACUCAUAGGAGCCAUUUUAUGAAAUUCAGUGGGAUUAUUCCAAUAUGUAAGUGCUACCCAAGCAUAAUUGGAGCCACUUCGAAAAGUAUAUGAGGUUUCUUUGAAAACUGAGUCCCUUGGAUUUAAGGAAAAAAGAGUAUUAUUAUUGUUUAUAUCAUGCAAGCAUGCAAGAAUCCAGUUAGAAAUUACUGGAAAAUCUAGGUUUGUUUUAAGAAGUGGGAGGGGAUGACCAGGAUGCCUGAUGCUGCUGGUGUAAGAAGAGGAAUGGUAUGUUUUUUGUGUAUCGAUACAAUUAACAGUCUAGUAAUACUUUUGGUUUCCUUUGUAGUCCUUCAAGACUUCUUACUAAUACAGUUCACAGUCUCAUCACUGGAAUUUCUGCAGAACAUGCAAAUCUCUUGUACUGCCAGGUUAUCUCUAUUCUUCCUGUUAUUCUAAGCAGAUUCAAAAGGCUUCUUCAAAAUAAUGUAGCUAAAUUAAUACACUGUACUGACAAAUGUAUGAGUGAAACAGAGAUGUACAACAGCCUAAAGACAUUACCUACCAUUGAAGAUAUUUUCCUGCUGCUAUCAGGCUUGAGGAGGAGUUGAGCUCUGAAACUGUUUUACCUAUAAAAAGAUUUUUGGUAUUAGCUCAAAAAGGAAGAAAAAGAGCAGAUUUCUACUGUUUUGUGUGUAUUCUCAGAGCUGAUAGAGAAGAUUAAACUGUGUGUGUUUGGCAGCAGCAUUUGAGCACUUGAGUGAAAUUCUGUCUGCUCUGCUCUUAAUCCUGUGGUAAUUCAGGAUCUGUAUUCACUGAUUCCUAAGCAUGAUAAUCCAAACCCCCUGCAGUUGGUGGUGUUGGUCUCAUCAGGAGCCUCACUGGCCUUUAAAUAGAAGGUAGCUUAACCUGAUCGACAGCUGAGUGUUGUUGGAUUUUCUUUUAAACAAGUUUGGCUGGGUUAGUAGUUGGUUCAGUGUAGCGCUUGGAUGUCAUUCUUCUUCUCUUGCUUCUUUUGAUGAUGGCCUUACCAUAGUAAUUAUGAAAAUUAUCCCAACUUAGGAAUCUCACCUCUAGUGAAAUUUCAGUUAGCAUCGUGUAAAAGCUUUCCUCUGUAUCCAACAGAUUUUAGAAAUCUGUUCCUAAGAUAAAGGAAUUUAGAAGCAUAAAUACCUAGAUAUGCUAUAUAACUCAUGGUCCUGUUUUCAGCAGUUGAGGGUACUGGAAUGAGAUCAUUGUUAGCCAGUAGCUUUUCACUGACAUCAGUGGGCAUUUCAGAUUGCUCGAGGUUUCUAUUAGAGAGACGUGGUAAAUUUGAUAUUGGCCAAAUCGAUCUUCUGUCAGAAUUCUGGACAUAUCAUAAGAAUAAUCUGCAGAAAUGCACAUGAUACUAAUGAGACAGGUAGCUACCUAGCAAGCGUUUACUAAACUUGCAUAGAAGAUAGAUAAUUGGCCACAAAGGUCACCUCUUUCUGAGAUCUUUAUUACACUCACUUGAAAACACUACUGGAUGUUUGUCUCUAAGACUCUGGCAGUGUGAAGUCAGAAUCACUGUGUGUGUUGCCAAAGCAGAGGUAUGGCUCGAAAAUAAUCAGCAAAAGCCAAGAAAGGUGCUAGUCCUUGCAGUGUUUGAGGGCAAAGAAGAGUUAACGGUGGGAAAGGCAGAACUGUGAGCCAAGAUUUGUUGUGGCUGGCAGCCUGUGUUGUGAAGGAGAACAUUCAUGCCAUGUCCAGAAUGGAAAUACCAAUCCCAACCUUGAACAAGAAGGUAUUCUUCAUAUUUGGCAGGCAUGCUAUCUCUGAGAAACAGCAGGGGAGAAAGCACUGUCUCAUGAUGUUGUUGUUGACUAAGUCAGGCUGAUGCAGUUCAUCCACCUACCACAGACUUUUUGUGCUUCCAAAAAUGAAGGAGGAGAACUUCACCUUUGCCUCGAUCUCUUUCUGUUUGGGACAUGCAUGAGCAAUAAUGCUAUCCUGACAGGGUGGGAUGUUUGAGGUACAAAACAUAAUGAAGAUUCGAUGAAGUAGCUCAGACAAAGAAAAAAUAAACUCGUGUCUCUGGGGCUAGGAUUUUCCUGCAAAUGGCCUGAAAUAAAGUGUAAACCCAAUUUACCAAUGUAAACUCGUUAUAUUAGCCAAGAGCUCUUUUAUAAUUAAAGCAUUGAGAUUCUAGUUGCUUAAAAGAGAUGUGAAAUUUUCUUCAACAAAAGAGGCUUUGUAAAGAAGCAAGAAUAACCACUACAAAUACAUGAAGUCUGAGAUUGUUCCUGAUGCUCAUUUAAACUCGUUACUAACCCACUGGGUUCAAAUGAGGGCCAUUUUUCCUUAAAACUUAAAUUUGUCGGCAUUGGAGCAGUCAAGCUUUAGCUCUGAAAGAGCUGAAAUGUGAACAGUUGUACAUCACAGCAUGUGCGAAAAGACAUGAUAGGCAAUAUCUGGGCAUUGUUAAGGUUUAGACUAGAUCAGUCAUGCCUGCUUGGUGUGAACCAUGCUGGCUCAUGGCCGUGGGCUCCUUUACUGUUACAUGAUUGGGGUGGCCCUGCACUGUGACCAGAGCCAAAAGGUCUUCCUCCUGCAUGCAUCCUUUCUCAGAAGCUUGCAGAUUGCCUCCUUGAGGAAGGAAGAAUGGAGCAACCCUCAAAACAGAGAGCAAGCAAGAACAGGCUAUGUCAGUUGUUUUGGGGGAGAUAUGUAGAAAAGAUGGCUAUCAAAGAGGCCUUUUCCCCCUUCUUUUCCUACAAAUGCUGGUAUUAGAAAAGGUAUCUGAGUGAUUUCUGUAUCAUUUACAUUUUCUGUGUUUCCAGUUUCUAUGGGAAACUGUUGAUCACAGCCUGAACCUCUGAUUAACCAUCUGAGGCAAGUGAUGGGUCAGCAGUGGGAACACAGGUGUUGGUAAUUCAGCUGUGCUCCCAGGAAGGGGUGGGGCUUGACUCCAUCUCUCCUAGAUCCCAUUUAAGGGCUGACCACCACUAAGGCAGCAUCUCUUUCUGGAGAUUGUGCCUGUGUUAGUUUCUACAGUGAGCCUUACUAUUGGCAAGCAUCUUGACUUGGUGGCAGCUGAUGCAAUAAUGGGCUCCUGCACGUUUUUGCACCUCAAUCACAUUUAGAACCUGACAGCCUUGUCUUUCUGGAAUAUGAACGCUACUUGCAGCCUACAGCUGAAACAAUUAGCUAUAAAACAGAAAGCAGCUUCAUGAAAGAAAAAAAAAGAGAAAAGAAAAAAAGAAAAGCCUCCAGCUUGCAUUUUAAGAAUUUAUUAAAAGAAAGCAAAAGCUAAACAUUCAAGUAGGUGAAAAAGCCUUAGAGUACUUAUCUGUAUUUUAUGGGUUUUGAGACUAUAAAUGAUUAAAGCUAAAAGUCAUUUGGGAAUAUACAAUAGAAGAAAUGGGCUUUGAUGAUGGCAGAGGUGAAAGAAUAGAAAUAGUGGUGUUACUAUUUGUACUACAUGUACUAAAAGCAGCAACUGAAGGGAGGAAUUUGACCAAACUCCAUGAAAAUGUAUCCUUAUAGCUCUUAUUAAUGAGUUCUGUUCCUUUCCCAGUUUCUCUUGACCCUUUUCUCAGGGUUAAAUUAAUCCCUCAUGCAGCUCAGCUGAGGAUAAUGAAGUUCCCUCAGGGUACCAGUGCAGCCCUUGGGUUUGACCUACAGAAGGGCUGAACUUCUGUUCUUCACUGUGUUUUCUGGCAGUUUUGUUUACAUUGGAUUAAUUAAAAAUACCUUCUCCAUUCCCCAAGCUGAUGUGCAGAAUAAAGGAGGUUCUAGUGCCCAGCCAUUUGCAGCCUAUCCAUACCUGUACAGAGACACUGUGGAAAAUGCAGCUAACAGGGGAACUGCAUGACCCAGAUCAUAUUUGUGAGCUAAAAUAUGCGUAUUUGGGUAGAGCCUGUGUAAGCAAACUUCAAGAUGUGAAGGGACUCUGAAUUCCAGCAGGCUGUUGUGGUGCUCACAGUUUAUGGUUCUGGAACCAUAGGUAUUGCUUAUAAUUCUCCACCUAUGGGAGAGUUAAGUUUGUUGGAGGUGAAAGCAAGGCAUUUGACCAUGUGGUCAUCUGGAUUUUGCUCUAGAGUGGCUAAACUGAAGGGUCUGCUCCAGCUGCUGCUAGACUUUUAGAAGGCUUUGAAACAGAUAUUUUUUUCAACAUUUAAAUACAUCACCAUCUACAAAUAGUACCGGUUUGAUAUCUGGUAAUAUAAGUUUUAUCCAGUGUAAGAGGUAGACUGCAUUUUGGUCCAGAGUUGUCUCAUUCUUCUGAUUACUUUGUCUGCAGUGACCUUCCUCUUUUAUUUCUCCUUUCUUUUCUUCCUGGCACACUAUUCUACCUCAUUUGUAUCUUAUUCUUGAGUCCUCUCUUCUAUCUUGCCAGCAUGCAAAUACCUAGGUACCACAGAGCAGCCAAGCAGAGUUGGUGCUUUACUGCAGAGCAUCAGAAGUCACAUGCAACCAAGAGAAGUUACCUUCAUUACAGCAAUCAAAGCACAAAAGCUUUUGGCUUUUUCACCUUGGUGCCACAAAAGCUAAGUGAAACCAGCAAAAUCCCCACUGUCCACCUCCUCUCUUGCCACUCCAUUCCUAUUUACCCUAUAAAUUUUCUGUGAAUUAAGGCAUAAGAUGGCCUUAAUAUCAUUUGUUCCUUGAUGAAACAAGAGAUCUGGCACAGCUGUGUCUUGGCAUAAGCAUUUUAUUUAAUGGUUCAGCAGUAGAAGCAGGCAGCAGGUUAUUUUGUCAUGGAUGACAGUGGAUGGUCUCUGACAACUUGAAACUCUUCAGAACUCUUCAGCACAUAUUAGGCUACUGAAAGUUGUGGCUUCCAUUUGUCAAGAGGGCAUAUUCAGAGGGAGCAGUGGCUGGCUCAGAAAGUCUUUAUUCAAGGUCUUCAGUUGUGUUGCAUUUGUUUUGCACUGAUUUUUAGAGGAUGCUGAUUAAUAUAAAUCAUCUUGUAUUACGACACUUGACCAAGGCCUAUAAUCAUGCUACUACUUCAGCUGUGUAUGAUUGAGAAGACCCCAGAUUAAGCUGAGCACUUACAGCAAGGAGUCCCCCCUGUGCCAGCUGGGAGGCUGGAACCAGCUGCAUUCUGAAAUUUGAAAGAAAAAACGAACGAAUCUCCAAACUGCUUUGUAAAACUCUCUUUCUCAUUACCCUAAUCACAUAAGUAUGCUGAAGGCUGCAAUCAGAGUGUUUUUUUUUUGUUUCCUGAGCUUGAUUUAAAAGGAGAAAAAAAGAGAAAAAAGAUUAAUGAACAUUGUACUGAAAGGAUCAGUCAAGUCAUCCAGGUUCUAUCUCUGCAACUCAGUAAUAGAACAGAGGAGAUCACUCUACUUCUGUUCCCUAUGUCUUGUUGCAUGCGACAUUUCCCAGUGCCCUUUAAGCCAUGUAGACCUACAUAGAAAACUGUAUAAUGUGCCGUAAUAUAGAUCAAGAGGACAGAUUUCAGUGUCCUGUGAUAUGUCAUUUCUUAAAUGAAGUAAUGUCACCUCUGAGAAUUACAUCUUUGAAUGAAGUUUCUAGGUAAUGUAGAGGAAAAAUCCCCGUUUUCAGUUACAGUACUACAUGUUGCUUUUCCAUCUCUGUGGUGUUGAUUUAAGCACCUAGUGUGCCUUUUCCCAUUCAUUCACUUAGAUGUAGUAGUUCUCGGUCUUCAGUACUUGUGCCCAAGAUCAUACAAAGGCAUCUGUGGCAGUCAGCAGUUAGAUCAACACAUCCUAAAUGUCAGCACACUGUGCAUAAUUUAAAAGACUGGCCUACUUCCGUUGUUUUUUAGUAUUUUAAAUGAGAAAAUAGCCUUUAGAUAGUAUUCCUAACAUGAUCCUUGCUAAGUUUUUAAACUUGGCUUUACUAACAUACUAGAAAUUGGUAAUGCUUAGCCUAUAUUUAAACAGAAUUCCUGGCCCAGUACUUAAUCUCAAGCUGUCUUUUCUCAUUACUAUUGCCAUGAGUUUUCUCUUAAGGAGUAUUCUUACUGCUGUCAAAGAUGAACAAAUGAGGCAUGGUUUCACAAGUGAAGGUUUGGGCUUGGGGCUUUGUUUGCUUUCUGGCAUGACAAACAUUUAUCUGAUCAACAUGGAGCAAUAGCAAAGUGAUGGCUAAACCAGGUCCCGCAAAGCACAACAGAAGCAUUGAUAUUGCAAAUGUAAUGGAAUGAAAUAUAAUGAAAUGGAAUGAGAAGCACCAAUACUGGGUGUGGGUUGCUCUGGGCACAGAAGAACUUUGAACUCUGGAGUUCCUGGAGCAUUCUCUUGGUUUAGGCGUCAAGGACAAGAAUUGCUCAGUUGUGGAAAUGUCCCACACUCCACUUAAAUGACAAGAUCCUUUAGUACCAGUAGUUUGAUCCUGUGAGGUCUUAAGAAUUAUCAGCCCUCCACAUUUUUGUUAUUAGUUGGAAAGAAUAAAAAUGGACUCAGUGCAAGGAGACAAGAACAGGAAAUUCUCAAAAAAUAAAUGAAAAAUUGAUAUCUAGGAGCCUUUUGUUUUGGAGGAAUGUCUCUGUUCAAAAUGUUGCUUUCCACAUGUGGGCAUCUCUGCCUUGUAUAUAACAUCCCCACUUAGCAUAGCAGAUAAAAAUCACAUCUGUGGUUCUGUUUGUCUAACAAGCAGUCUUCCUGCAGGAUCUCUAGUGCUUAGCCUGGGGGGAGUUUGUAGACCUUAUCUAAGAGGAGGAAUUACUUUGUUGUGGUUUUGACAUAUUCUUUAAACAAUAUUCAGAAACCAUCUGAAACCACACUAUAUAAAGAGGAUCCUUUUUGUGAGUCUCAGUGGAGAAAGCAAGAGUGAGAAAUAUCUGUGUUCUGUUUUCUGGCUUUACUCUGCAUCCUAGCCCUUGGUUAGGAAGCUAUGUAAGUCGUAGAAUGUAGUAAUUACUUUUGAAAUGAACAAAAGAAGUUUAAAGACUUUCUGCUGCUGUUCAGUGUUCUCGUUCACCCUCUACCCUUAUCACUUAGAUGAUGUCUCAGACUGGUAUAUUUAACUGGUGUCCUGCUUACGUUGGUGCAAGAUCAUGCAAUGCAUUCUUCAUUUGACGGAGUGAUUUAAUCCUUAUUCUUUAUAGGAUUUAUUGAAAAAUGCUUCCAUUGCUUGUGCUCUAAGCUCUGCUCUGCUUUCUCCAGCCCUGACUUGUGAGCUAGCAGGAUAUGUAGAUUGCCUUCAGAUUGUAUGGCAGAGUGCUAAUCCACUGGCAGGUGUGACUCCUUUAGAUUUGUACCCAGAGCAUUCUCAGGAGCUGGGUUUGAACCCUGAACCACUCUGAGCAUCAGUUGAAAUGUAAAGUUCAAUAGAAUUUUUUCUCUGAUUACCAAAGAACUUGUUUUUGUAAUAUUGACUAUCAAAAGAUCUGUAAGAAGAGAGUGACAGCCUCUGCUUAGCCACUCAGACACCAGCAGAAGCUGAUCCCACUGCCUUGUGCUUGUCCUAGCAGUGCUGGAAAAAUUAGGGCAGAAACCAGGGGUUAGUUUCUCCCUCUCACCUACAGGGAGUCAGGCUUGAGGCUGUUCAAGCAUUUAAUUCCCAGGACUUAGCUGUAAAAUUUUAGUCCACUUUUAAAGGAAAAUACACUACAGUUUUGCUUGAAAACUUCUCCUCUGCUUGAAAAUAAUGGCUAUGUUUACAACAGUAGCAGCAGCAGCCAAGUUUUCAGGAAGGAAGCUUUGUUGUUUGAGGGCUGGGAAGGUUGCUUCUAGUGAUGUAAAAUCUCAGCUUGGCGUUGGCAAGGAAAUGGCAUGCUGCUGCUGGAACAGGGCAAAGAAAUGGGCUCUUCAGGGCUGACAUCCCUUUAGCUUCCCUGCGUUCUGGAGGAUCCCCAAGGCCCCAUGGAAACCAGAUGCAUUCCUGCUGCAACAAUUAAUGUAAGCAACCCUUGCUGGAAGAGAACGUUUAGGGAGGAAAACGUUACAGUAUUUUCUUUUGGAAAAUUCCACUAUUGACAUGAAAAGCAGCAGGGUAACAGCAAAGAUGGAUUGCAGAUUUUGACAGCGCCGACAGGUAAAUAUUGGCUUUGUGCAAACAAGUUUCUAUAAAUAACCUGUCUGCUC